rnacentral:piRNA from 1 species
UAGGACAGAUUCAAAAAUGCCAAGUGCCU